rnacentral:tRNA from 1 species
GAAAAUUUAGUUUAUUAAAACAUUAACUUGUCAAGUUAAAGAUAUUAUACUAAUAAUUUUCU